rnacentral:rRNA from 1 species
CCUACUGGAGGCAGCAGUGGGGAAUUUUGGACAAUGGGCGAAAGCCUGAUCCAGCCAUUCCGCGUGCAGGAUGAAGGCCCUCGGGUUGUAAACUGCUUUUGUACAGAACGAAAAGGUUUCUACUAAUACUAGGAGCUCAUGACGGUACUGUAAGAAUAAGCACCGGCUAACUACGUGCCAGCAGCCGCGGUAAUACGUAGGGUGCAAGCGUUAAUCGGAAUUACUGGGCGUAAAGCGUGCGCAGGCGGUUAUAUAAGUCAGAUGUGAAAUCCCCGGGCUCAACCUGGGAACUGCAUUUGAGACUGUAUAGCUAGAGUACGGUAGAGGGGGAUGGAAUUCCGCGUGUAGCAGUGAAAUGCGUAGAUAUGCGGAGGAACACCGAUGGCGAAGGCAAUCCCCUGGACCUGUACUGACGCUCAUGCACGAAAGCGUGGGGAGCAAACAGGAUUAGAUACCCUGGUAGUCCACGCCCUAAACGAUGUCAACUGGUUGUUGGGUCUUAACUGACUCAGUAACGAAGCUAACGCGUGAAGUUGACCGCCUGGGGUGGUAGCGCGAGUAGUUAAGUUAAAGUAAGUUAGNGGNGNGAGAGNGCGAGACGACGACGAGGGAGGAGG